CUCUGUGCUCAGCCCGGAGUCCACUUGGGAUUUUUUCCCCCUCCUCUGCCCCCCUCUCAAAUAAAUGCUAGCAUAAGCCAUGUAUGAUGGGGGAAGUAAAUGCCCCAAAGAUGAGUCUUGCAAAGUCAAGAAGAAAGUUUGUCUUUUGCAAGCUGUGCAUACUUUUUGAGUAUUGAUCAUCAAGAAUUGGUACUGUUGUCUAAGAGUAGAGUGGUUCCCUCUUGCGGCUUCCUCCUGUGUCUCCUUUUUACAUCAUUCUUAAGCAUGAUUCUCAACAGAAGAAGACUUAUAUUACUUCCAAACCUAGUGGUCAUACCUCAAUGAGAAUUCCUGCAGAUUUGGGGGUUGGAUUAUUUUGGUUCUUUCUUAGUGAAGACAUGGGACACUCCGGUGGCAUCAUAGGUGAAGGCAUUGAUAGGUGAAAAUUAAUACAGAGUUUAGAAAAUGGGUCAUGUAGUUCCUUGGUUUGGGAGUCAAUGAAUGUGACUCCAGGACUUUGACCCUGGUUACUUAAUUGUCUCAAAGCCAAGGGACUCAACAAACCUUCCUUCCCCCACACGCAUACCCUAUAAGCAUCCCCAUUACUUUCAUCUCUUAAUUUUUCCACCCCUUCAUGGUCAGCUAAAGGCUUAAACAUUCUUGGACUAAUUGCACUAUAUUUCUGAUUUGCUUUUCUUCAUGUUUAUAUAGUGUCAUGUAUAAAGUAUGUAUUUGCAUAUUGUAUAGUUUCAUGUAUAUGUGUUUUGCUUCCCCUGGGUACAUGGUAAACUCUGAGAGCAAGCACUGUGUGAACUUUUUGACACUUAUUCCAAGAUGGUUGGUAUGCUAAUGCACACCUUAAUGUUUAUGAAUAAAUAAUGUUCAUGAAAUCCUAGGCGGGUGCAUUGCAUAUCUUAGAUAAAGUAGUAUGGUCUUCCAAACAUUGGGCCUAUUUCCAAAGUAGUGGCUUCAGGGUUCAUGCCCUUACUACUUUUUUAAUGGAAGGUUUUAAGGGAAAAACGCAAGGGCAUGAGACAAAUACCUUAUUCUCAAGGAAAGUAGUAGCCAACGUCCAUGAGAUAACUGAUUCAUUUUAAUGCUCAGCUGAUACUAGCCUCAUUUUGCAGUUUGAGGAAAUAGGUUCAAAGAUGUGAAAGUGACGGACCCAGAACUUGAAUCCUUGUGACAAAUUUAUUUUACUACCAUUCUUUUUUAAAAGCCAGCCGUUUACAGUGGGGUGGUUUAUAGGGGCAAGUUAAAUCUUUGACUCGUGAACAUCACCUGUAAUAUCCACCUGAUGCCACCAGGGUGUCCCAUGGUGCUGUCUUUGAUCGUAUUCCUACCCGGGUUGCUGGAGGCUGUUUUGAAGCAGGAGUUCAUUUAGACUCUGGCUGAGGCCCAGAGCUCAGCAGCAAGAAAGUGGGGUGUUCAGCUCCCUGACUUCUAGUAUGCAGUACCGAGCCAGCAUCAGAGAUGCCCUUGCCCUCUUUUAACCCUCUUUUAACCCCUCCAGUCAGGCUGGCCUCACAGGACAGCAGGGCCUGGCUAGCAACUCUUAAGUAGGCAACAGCCCCACAAAGGAGAGUAGCUUAGAAAAGACCCCAUGGAUGGGUAAAUGUCUAUAAACAUAUGCAUUUGUUCCGGUAGCUGAGUACACACACAAAUUUAUACUAGUAAAAUCGAUCCACGAGAGAAAGAUUGAAUUGCUUUACUUACCACUCUAGAAGAAUUUUGAAAGACAAUGUGUGUGAAUUCCCACUUUUCAGUUUGCAGUAAAAAUCUACUUAGUCCUGAGUAUACAACCCCUUAGGCUUGAGUUUUGAUACUCCACAAUCCUACAUCAUAAUCUUUGGUGUCAAAACUGUCACGUGGGAACUAAUGAGGUGAAGUCUCCUACUUUGUAUUAAAGAGCACAAUACCCUCAAAUUUUUUUUUCUUCCAGCGCUCUUUAAGCACUUUAUACAAAUGUCUAACGAGUCUAUAAUUCUCAAGUUUUGAUUUCUCUACUGGAAGAGAUCCUUAAAGUAUCCCCAGUGACUAGUAUGGUUCCAGGCAUUUUAAUAUAGGUGUUCAAUAAAUACUUGCAUACUGAAAUAGCGAAGCCUCCAUAAUAGUUACAGGAUAGUUAUACAUAUGAACCAUUUCUCUAAGGAAGAGAGUCUACAUUAGGGAUAGGGACGUCUUUGAUGUGUCUUUGAUGAUUAGAAACCAUUAUGAACUGGGGAAGUAGUCCCUGGGGUGUCCUGACUGGCCUUUCGAAAUCUGAAAUAUCUUUUUCUGGGUUGGAAUUAGCACAGCCUGAAUUUGACCUUACCCAUGCAACAUCUAAGACUGGGUGUUCACCACGGCUCUUAGAGCCACUAGGAUAGACUUACUAAAUUAGAGUAAAGGUUACUGACGGGAGAUGUCCGGUUGGUGGUGCCCUUUCCCCUUUCUGCUCCCUGCCUACCCAGGUGUGUUUCCCUUGUCAAAUUCCCGUGGUUUUUCAGGAAAUCAUUGGAAUAAAUCCUAAACCUACCUAUAGUAGUCCAGCAUCCUUUUCAAUUUUCUCAUCUCUUUAGUGAGAGAGCUAAUCACAGAUUAUAGUAUCAAUUUAGACCCUUCCAUGUGCUUUGCUUAAGUGAUUAGAGUAACUAUCUGAGCUAAAUUAAAUCUAUCAAACAGGGGCUUCCUCAGCCUUCAUGAAUUUUGCUUGUGUACUAUGUAAGGGACUGGAUGAAUGUAGGAAUAAAGGUUAUCAGUUCCAAUGCAGAUGGUUCUAAUGUCCUCGUGAAGCAUCACUGAGGGAUUUUUUUUCAUCCCGUAUUAUGAAUCUAGUUCUAAUAGAUUGGUCUGAAGAUGCUUUUCCAUAUGUGAAGAGUAAGUAUAUUACGCCUUUACUAUCUAAAGUGCAAACUAUUAAAGGCAGAAAUAAUGUGUAUCCUAGAAUGCCUGUUUCUGGGAUUACCUUACACCCAAUGCUCAGGCAGCAUUUUCACGGUUUGGAUUGACUACUUGCCAUCUGCUCUCCUGAGUAUUCACUGCUGAAUGACAGAGGAGAGAAAGUGAAAGGAAAGGUGCAGUGGGAGAGGAAGCUGGAAAAAUAAGAAACAACUGGGAGCUGAGGGGGGCUACUUAAUGUAAGGUCAGUAAAACAAAAAGUAGAGGACAGGGUCAGGCUUUGGGGGUAGAGGGCUAAUUUACUUUUGUGAACUAGUUGAGGAGAGCCUUGUAUGCUUUGUUUAAAAGACUAAAGUUACUUCAGAAGAAAAGUCUAGCAUCUGACCCAUCUUCCCUGUUUACCAUAGUAAAUCGUUCAAGUCAAAAUCGACACUGUCCUCUAGGAAUUCUGGUCUUUGUUCUUCAAUUCUAGGAAAGAACUUCCUGCUGCUGCUCCCGCAGUCAAGGGUGCAAUGCUUCCAGUAGUGUUUGUGGAUAGCUGGCUGACCUGGUCCUUGAUGUGCUACCUGCUUCUGCUACUGAUCCAUACUGCAGAACUUCUCAUUCAUCCCCAAGGCCUCCAAGCAAUGUCCAAUAGGGAAUCAACUCUAAAAGGAACCAGACCAACGUUUCCAGCCCUUCAUUCUGUAGCUACCUCCCUGUGAGGAAAGGAUAGCAAACGUUCAGGACAUCAUCAUACAAAGUUCCAGUAGCAGUGACACCUACGCGGAAGACUUGGAACUGCAAACAGAGGCUGGGGUCACCUCAGUGACAUCUGACGCCGUCCAACCACAAGUUCGAGUUUUGUUUUGUGGGGUGAGGGAGCAGACUGUACUAAAGGACUAAAAUGAUUUCUUGUCUAUAC